GAUGAACGCUGGCGGCAUGCUUAACACAUGCCAGUCGAACGGGAAGUGGUGUUUCCCGUGGCGAACGGGCGAGUAACGCGUAAGAAACUGCUCUUGGGCGGGGUACAACAACUGGAAAAGGUUGCUAAUACGCCGCUGGCUGAGCAGCAAAAGGAGAAAUCCGCCCAAGGAGGGGCCCGCGCCUGAUUAGCUAGUUGGUGAGGUAAUAGCUUACCAAGGCGAUGAUCAGUAGCUGGUCCGAGAGGAUGAUCAGCCACACUGGGACUGAGACACGGCCCAGACUCCUACGGGAGGCAGCAGUGGGGAAUUUUCCGCAAUGGGCGAAAGCCUGACGGAGCAAUGCCGCGUGGAGGUGGAAGGCCUACGGGUCGUCAACUUCUUUUCUCGGAGAAGAAACAAUGACGGUAUCUGAGGAAUAAGCAUCGGCUAACUCUGUG
rnacentral:rRNA from 1 species